rnacentral:lncRNA from 1 species
CUUGGAGAAAGGAAAAGAGCUUAGGGGUCUUGAAGAGAACAGGAGGAAGUGGUGUGGCUUCCCAAGGUUUUUGAUGGGUGUUGGCAGGGCAUGUUGGCUUUGUCCAUGAGACCCAGGGAAGUCCCAGGGCUUCUGUCCAGGCAAAGCAUAGACCAUGGUGCUCUGCAGCUAUCUUGGUCUGAAUGUCAUGGCUCUUAUCCUGAAAAUAUGUCCGACCUAUACACGUAGUACCAGAGCCACAUGGCUGAUCUGUGCCUAGCACCAAGGAGGCUUUGGACCACGAGGGUGUGGUGGUUGCUAUGCAAGACCACUGAUUCUCCACAGUUGCCAUGGAAGCUUUCUCAGUCCUGUACAACCCAAAAGAAGGAGAAGGACCAUUAUGAGCCUCAGGGGAAGAAAGAAUUAGAUCAGGGUGAACGUGACGUCUCUCAAUAGCCCACAGCUGGGGACUCUACAAACCCACUGAGGGGUCGGCUUCCACCCCAUGAAUAUUGAUAAGAAGAAUGACGUACAGCAGCAUCAGAGUCCUGUAGAAACUGACCAGCAAGACUCCAUCAUGCAACUCUGAGAAUUUUCGUUUUCAAUAAUGUUUUCUCACAAUGCACUAAAACCAAGUCAAAUUCGCAAGGCAAUUCCAAACACUGUUUUUGGAGGACUCAGUUCCCACCAACCUUGGGGGAAAAAAAGAAACUGAUGAUUUGAUGAGCCCCAAGUAAAUGCAUAUUUACUCAAACUAAAACCAUGGAGAGGUGACAGAACCUGGUUUUCAUUCACACUGAAAUUCUACAAAAUAAUAAUGAUGAUGAUGCAGCCA